AUCGGUGGAAUUCUUUGCCACGGAAGGCUGUGGAGGCCAAGUCAAUGGAUAUUUUAAAAGUGGAAAUUGACAGCUUCUCGAUUAGUUAGGGUGUCAAAGGUUACGGGAAAAAGGCAGGAGAAUGGGGUUGAGAGGGAAUGAUAGAUCAGGCAUGAGUGAAUGGUAGAGUAGACUUG